rnacentral:ncRNA from 1 species
GUUCGACAUAUUCCUAUUGCUCCUAUACUUCAGAAGUAAAUAUGGCCAUUCCAGGUUUUAGAAAAAAAGCAUAGUUGUUUAUGUGAUUUAUAUUGAGGAUAUAAUCAUGUGGGGAGUUUGACUGGGACUGUACAUUUGUCAAAAAAUAACGCAGGUGUGCUACGGGCAGUUCAGCAAGAACAGAAAUAUCGCAUAGAGCAAAAGGAUAAAUGCUGGCUUAAUCUUAGCUUUCAGUACAAGCAGUGGAUACCUAGAAGCGCCUUAAAUUAGUUUUGGUUUCAG